UGCUCUGAUCAAUAACGUUAGUCACCAUGCAA
rnacentral:piRNA from 1 species